AGGCCUAACACAUGCAAGUCGAACGGUGCUAGCAAUAUCAUAGUGGCGCACGGGUGCGUAACACGUAACCAAUCUACCUACAACUGGGGGAUAGCCCGCCGAAAGGCGGAUUAAUACCGCAUAACACUUGGAAGCGGCAUCGCUUCUUACUUAAAAAUAUAUUGGUUGUAAAUGAGGUUGCGGGUCAUUAACUACUUGGUUGGGUAACGGCUGACCAAGGCGACGAUGACUAGGGGAGCUGACAGGCUGGUCCCCCACACGGGCACUGAUAUACGGGCCCGACUCCUACGGGAGGCAACAGUAGGGAAUAUUGGGCAAUGGGCGAGAGCCUGACCCAACCAUGCCGCGUGCAUGAAGAAGGCUUUCUGAGUCGUAAACUGCUUACGACAGGGAAGAAUAAGCACUACGUGUACUGUGAUGACGGUACCUGCAGAAUAAGCACCGGCUAACUCCGUGCCAGCAGCCGCGGUAAU
rnacentral:rRNA from 1 species